UACGGAGGGUGCAAGCGUUAUCCGGAUUCACUGGGUUUAAAGGGUGUGUAGGCGGGUAAGUAAGUCAGUGGUGAAAUCUCCAGGCUCAACCUGGAAACUGCCAUUGAUACUAUUUAUCUUGAAUAUCGUUGAGGUAGGCGGAAUAUGUCAUGUAGCGGUGAAAUGCUUAGAUAUGACAUAGAACACCGAUUGCGAAGGCAGCUUGCUAAACGAUUAUUGACGCUGAGGCACGAAAGCGUGGGGAUCAAACAGG
rnacentral:rRNA from 1 species